rnacentral:snRNA from 1 species
GUGCUCACUUUGACAGCACAUAUACUAAAAUUGGAAUAAUACAGAGAAGGUUAGCAUGGCCCUUGUGCAAAGAUGGCACACACAUUUUUGAAGUCUUCAAUAUUUUU